AGUGAACGCUGGCGGUAGGCCUAACACAUGCAAGUCGAGCGACAGCACAGUAAGAGCUUGCUCUUACGGGUGGCGAGUGGCGGACGGGUGAGGAAUACAUCGGAAUCUACUUUUUCGUGGGGGAUAACGUAGGGAAACUUACGCUAAUACCGCAUACGACCUACGGGUGAAAGCAGGGGAUCUUCGGACCUUGCGCGAUUGAAUGAGCCGAUGUCGGAUUAGCUAGUUGGCGGGGUAAAGGCCCACCAAGGCGACGAUCCGUAGCUGGUCUGAGAGGAUGAUCAGCCACACUGGAACUGAGACACGGUCCAGACUCCUACGGGAGGCAGCAGUGGGGAAUAUUGGACAAUGGGCGCAAGCCUGAUCCAGCCAUACCGCGUGGGUGAAGAAGGCCUUCGGGUUGUAAAGCCCUUUUGUUGGGAAAGAAAAGCAGCAGGUUAAUACCCCGCUGUUCUGACGGUACCCAAAGAAUAAGCACCGGCUAACUUCGUG
rnacentral:rRNA from 1 species